CUUGUACUCCUUCCGUCCGAAAAUACUUGUCUUAGAAAUGGAUAAAAAUGGAUGUAUCUAUAACUAAAAUAAGUCUACAUACAAUUAUUUUUAGGACAAGUAUUUCCGGACGGAGGGAGUAGGUG
rfam:Triticum aestivum genome assembly, contig: Triticum_aestivum_CS42_TGACv1_scaffold_407318_5BL